rnacentral:siRNA from 1 species
UGAAUAUAAUCUUUAGGCGCC